rnacentral:rRNA from 1 species
CCCUUAGAUGUUCUGGGCUGCACACGUGCUACACUGGCAGGUUCAGCGAGCUUCAUGCCCUGAUCUGAAAGGAAUGGGAAAUCUUUUCAAAACCUGCCGUGCUUGGGAUAGAUGUUUGCAGUUAUUCAUCUUCAACGAGGAUUGCCUUGUAAGCGCACGUCAUCAGCGUGCAUUGAAUACGACCCUGUAUUCUGUACACACCGCCCGUCGCUCCUACCGAUUGAAGUUUUCGGUGAGUUGACAGGAGGAUUUUUUUGAAACUGGUUCGCCAGUGGAUUUUAGAUCCAAAUGCCAACGAAUCGAUGGCUUUAGAGGAAGGAGAAGUCGUAACA